UAGGGAAUCUUCCGCAAUGGGCGAAAGCCUGACGGAGCAACGCCGCGUGAGUGAUGAAGGUCUUCGGAUCGUAAAACUCUGUUAUUAGGGAAGAACAAAUGUGUAAGUAACUAUGCACGUCUUGACGGUACCUAAUCAGAAAGCCACGGCUAACUACGUGCCAGCAGCCGCGGUAAUCCGUAGGUGGCAAGCGUUAUCCGGAAUUAUUGGGCGUAAAGCGCGCGUAGGCGGUUUUUUAAGUGUGAUGUGAAAGCCCACGGCUCAACCGUGGAGGGUCAUUGGAAACUGGAAAACUAGAGUGCAGAAGAGGAAAGUGGAAUUCCAUGUGUAGCGGUGAAAUGCGCAGAGAUAUGGAGGAACACCAGUGGCGAAGGCGACUUUCUGGUCUGUAACUGACGCUGAUGUGCGAAAGCGUGGGGAUCAAACAGG
rnacentral:rRNA from 1 species